rnacentral:lncRNA from 1 species
ACUAUUUCACAAAGACACAGCCAAGCCCAUCAUACAAGGCAUCUCCUGAGAGGCUGCAUAGAUCCAUUGAGACCCAGAACAGACCAUUAGGUUUGGAAAGGUGGAAAAAAAAUGUUUGCCAACCUCUACUUUAGUGGGACGAUUCUGAAGCACAUUCUGCGUGGUUCCUCAGAGUGUUCUCAGCAAGACUGAGACCCAGAUGUUCACAAUGGAUUCCAAAUUGGUGGCCUUUAAACUGGAAUACAGCUGACAUGGGAUCUAGAAAAUGGAUUCCCAGAUUUUCAACUCAUGCUAUACAGGAGAGAGCAUGAAAGGAGCGGAAAUGGCUCUGAAGACCACAGAUGAUCUGGCACACACCACCCCCAUCACUUGCGGGAUAAAAUCCAAACUGCUCAACAAAGAAAAACCAUAGCCUUCACAAGCUGGUGUCUUCCUCUGUAAUCAUCUCUCUUCCUUUCUUCCUUGGCACUGACCUUAUUGAAUUACUGACUUGCAGUUGCACAACUGCACUUUAUGCAUAGUUUCAUGCCUCCAUGCCUUUGCAAAUGCUAUUCCCCAGGGGUGGAAGUCAUUCUACCACCCUCUACUCCCAUGAGUGGCCUUCUGGACAAACUUCUAUUUGUUCUCAUGACACCAAUGCAAAGAGUCUCUGUUCUGUGAAGUUUUCUUGAUCUUCUCUUCUCCCAUAAUUGUUCCUUGUACUCACCUCUUUAUUUAGUGAAUCCAGUAUUCAUUUAUGUGCCUGCUUCCUGUGCUAUACUGUAAGCUCCUUAAUUGUUUCUUCUUUACCUUUAUCCCCCAAGUGCCCUGCCUAAUGUUUGGCUUAUAAUAGACACCCAAUUCAUCUCUUAUGGAAUAAAUGAGUAGAUGAAAGCUCCUAUACGGCGCUGUACCUUGAGGUCAAAGCAUCAGUGAAAUUGCUUACAGGAGAUAUAAGCAGCCAGAUCCCUUGCUAUGGAGACACCAUUUGCUAAAUCCUGCCCUGUGGAAAAUAGCGUUAUAUAGGUAGGUUCCAGCUGUCUUUCUAUUCAUAGCCUGUAUUCCUUGUCAUAUCCAAGUAAUUAUUCAGCAGCUGCCUGCCUUUCUACAUUCUAAUAUCUUUUCAAAUGGAUUCUGAAUCUGGAAAUGGUGUUGGACCCUAGCUGGAUACUAGUUGGCUUAAAGAAAACCCACUCUCCUAAAAUGC